AUACUGUCAGGUAAAGAUGUC
rnacentral:miRNA from 5 species